rnacentral:rRNA from 1 species
GGGGAAUUUUGGACAAUGGGCGCAAGCCUGAUCCAGCAAUGCCGCGUGCAGGAAGAAGGCCUUCGGGUUGUAAACUGCUUUUGUACGGAGCGAAAAGGCUCCCUCUAAUACAGGGGGUCCAUGACGGUACCGUAAGAAUAAGCACCGGCUAACUACGUGCCAGCAGCCGCGGUAAUACGUAGGGUGCGAGCGUUAAUCGGAAUUACUGGGCGUAAAGCGUGCGCAGGCGGUUUUGUAAGACAGGCGUGAAAUCCCCGGGCUCAACCUGGGAAUGGCGCUUGUGACUGCAAGGCUGGAGUGCGGCAGAGGGGGAUGGAAUUCCGCGUGUAGCAGUGAAAUGCGUAGAUAUGCGGAGGAACACCGAUGGCGAAGGCAAUCCCCUGGGCCUGCACUGACGCUCAUGCACGAAAGCGUGGGGAGCAAAC